GUGCUUAAUGCCUCGUGGUGGUUCAUCGUCGUGGCCCAGCUGGUGUAUAUUUUUGGAGGGGCGUGUGGGCGGUCGUGGUCGGGGUUUUCUUGGAAGGCGUUUCAGAGCUUGUGGAGCUUCGUCCGCCUGUCGCUAGCGUCUGCCGUCAUGCUCUGCUUGGAGAUCUGGUAUUUUAUGGCAUUGAUUCUUUUUGCUGGGUAUCUCAAAAAUGCUGAGGUUUCUGUGGAUGCUUUGUCAAUUUGUAUGAAUAUCUUAGGCUGGGCAGUUAUGGUUGCCAUGGGAGCCAAUGCAGCAACGAGUGUGAGGAUAUCUAAUGAACUUGGAGCAGGUCAUCCAAGGACAGCAAAGUUCUCUAUUCUGGUCGUCGUUAUAACUUCAUGUCUGAUAGGCCUUGGGCUUUCUCUGAUUCUGAUCAUUCUUCGAAAGCAAUUUCCGUCUGCAUUUACAAGCAGUGAAGAUGUCAAAAAGCUUGUAUACGAUCUCACCCCAUUACUUGCUACUUCUAUCAUUGUGAAUAAUGUGCAGCCUGUUCUUUCAGGAGUGGCAAUUGGAGCAGGAUGGCAGGCACUGGUUGCAUAUGUGAACAUCGCAUGUUAUUACAUAUUCGGAAUUCCUCUAGGCCUUAUCUUGGG
rnacentral:misc_RNA from 1 species